UCCUACCCCUUCCUUCAUUACGCCAAACACUCUUCCUAUUAUGCUUCCUUUGACAGAAAGAUGACCAACAGAACAGAUCUAGAUUUUCAUAUUUUAACUACUUGUAUGCUGCGUGUGCACAUGGAGGAACUGGCUGAUGGAAGGGGAGCGUUUCUGGUUUCUGCUGGAGAAAACCAGAGCUGUUUAGCUAUAUCUCAUGGGACCCAGUAUGCUUGCGGAGAGUCUGCCAUGGCUGAAGGCAUAGUGGGCCUGUGCUCAGUGAGGGAUAAACAUGGAGAUACAUGGAGACAGGGAUUUGUCAUCCUUUUAUAGGGGAAGGCUAUGUCCUCAGUCAUGAAUCUGAGGCCACAUGGGUUUAGUCACCCCUUGGUUUUGCCCUUAGCUUUUACAAACAGCACUUUGAUUUCAGCCUGUGCCAGCUAGUUCGAGGUAAUAUGUGACCUGCUUUAGAGCAGCCCUUCGUUGCUUGCUUGCUCUCCUUCUCUACUUGAUGAUGUGAGAGGCUGUGCUGAUGUGGCAGAGAUGCACUGCUCUAAAAUGGCAGGAGUGAGGGAGAAGCAAGGCACUACCACAUCUCCCAGGGUUUCUUGGGACAUGGACAGCUUUCAAGAGCUUUUGUCUUAUUUUUAAGCCAUAUGGACUAAACUAAACUGCUGACAAGAUGUCUCUUGGCGCUCUUUCCCCAAGAUGUCUCUGUGAAAUUUUAAGAUGCAUUUUGUAGACCUCAUGAUCUGUAAAUUAACUGCAGACUUGAUGAGCCAGGGAAAUGGGGAAGAGUGGAUGUAUUCCCUGAAGAGUGGGAAAUGGGUUAAAGGAAGCACAGCAGGAGGAAGUCUGGGAUUCUGCAAUGGUGAAGGGUGCUUUGGGCUCUUCUGGGUGCCUUGGGCAUGACCCUUCUCUCUUGACUCAAUUAGUAGCACAUCAUGCCCCUUAACACAAAAUGGACAAGAGAACAUGCUCUUCCUGCUUGAACCUGCACAUGAACAUCAGAAGUAAGCAGCUGAAGUACUUUGACUAGCUUCUUUCAUCGCAGGAGCUGUGUUGCUUGCAAAGAUAGGGCAGUGACUGGCAUGAAAUGGUCUGCAGGAGUCCUUGGAUCACUUGGCAAUACCGAGCUUCUUUGGGGCAAUAGCUUUUCUGUUAAAAUUUACUCCUUGGAAGUGCUGAAGAUACCUGAGGAUUUACCUUUAAGUAAAGUGACUGGGAAACACAGAGACUCAGCCCUUCUGGAAGCAGGCACCAGGAAGUCAACAGAAAGCUGUCCCCAGUGUUCUUCACUUGGCAUCACCUUGUGAACAAGCACCAAGUCUCGAUGAAUGGGAGGGGACUCACGACUUCCACCUGGAGCACGGUGUCUAUUUGAUCCACUCUGGAGUCUCAGCAGGAAUCGGAAUUCAUCCUGCAGGUCUUCUCCAGGAGGCAUGUUAUUAGACAGAUGCAAAUAACAGGAAUGGCAAAUAAUGGUUGGCAUGUGAAGAGGAGCUGGAUGAUGAAGUAUACUGCGACAGCAAUACUGACAUGAAAUUGAAAGGAACUCCUGGCAAACAAAUUAAUCAGCUAGAGCAGGACACACUACUGCAUAUGCUGGAGGUUUUCUGGGUAUGGAUAUUGCACACAUUAAGUAUGCAGCUGGGGUAGAGGAGGUACUGGUCAGCCUCACUGCACGUGCUCUGCAUUUUCAGGAUUUAUGUCCAGAUGGGGACAUCGACUUAGAAAAGCAGGGAAAACAAAUACUUCUUCAGUGCCUGGAAAGGGUGAUAGGCAUGAGUUUAACGUGGGGCUAUGCAGUCAAGACCUGAUCAGAACCUCUGUCUCCUGGAGCCCAGCCUUGAAUCUGGACAAUGAGCUCCUCUCUGCCUUGUGUACUAGAGUGCUACUGCUCUGUAAUUCAUGUACUGUUGUGAGCCAGAUCUUUCUGAUAAACAAUGCUUCUUCUUCGCUAGCAUCCAGGAGCUUGAGUUAUGAUCCUGUCCCAAAGUCUGAGGCUUGCAAGGAGCCAGUGAUCACUGGGCAGUUCUUCUGUUAUCUUGCCAUCUGUGUAUGCAUACCCUCACAUUCCCUUCUCCCCUUCUCUUGCCAUUGUCCUCAAAAAAAAAAAAAAAGUUGAAAUAUUGCACUGAGAAAGGGAAAAAAAUAUAUAUUUUUCCCUCUUAGAGAAAGAAAUGCUAACGGUUACCUUUGCCUUUCCUUCCUGCUGUGUCUUACACAGGAUUAGGCCUGAAAAGCAGUAGCACCGAGCUUGAAGUUCAAUUUAUCAGUACAGUCAGGACUGAUUUGUUACACUACCUGUUCUGGGGAAACAAAUGUCUCCAUUGCUCUCCUCUCCAGUCCAGGCAGACCUUUGUUUUGCUCAGAUCAAUUAUCGAAGGUAGGAAGCUGAUGCUCCACAGAUAAAGGCAUGAAAACUGCAAAAUCCUGACUAAUGCUACUUAGCCUGGCAGUGCCAGAGACCGAUGCUGGUUGCAAAGCACCCACUUGUCAUUUUGGUGGCUGCAGAUACGAAGCAGAAAGAGCGCCCUUUGCCUGGACUUAAUCUCCUACUUUUGUUGUUGUUGUUGAAAAUGCAGUGAAAAGUCAUAGAAAAUGAUUCUUGGGUGAAUUACGUGUCCCAUUUAUCACUAAUAACAUUGUAACUGGAGGGUCAACUUCAUCCUUGGAGCUCAAAUUCAUAGUAAGAGUCAGGUUGAAGAUGAGGUUGUUUUUUGUACAAAUUUUUAUCUCCUUUAUGAGACAACAGAAAUAGACUUUGCUACUGCUUUUGAAGGAAAUAAGUUUUUCUAUGAAAAUUUGCUACUGUAAUCUAGCAAUUAUUAUUCUCACCAUUUAAAAAAUGAUCAGUUAAAAAAGCUCACAAUUAAAAAAAAUCACUUUUCUCCCCAAAUCCAUUUUGACAGAAUAGUUACAGCAAACCUUACAGAAAUGUAGGAUUUACAUUUUCAGAUUCAAAAGACCCAGCAUGUGGAUUGGUACGAAGAGCUAUAUUAGAAAAGGACCCAUUUUUUUCUGACUUGUUUCUAACAAGUUAUACAUGUGUCUCAUGUUGAGGUAAGGGUGAAUAGCUGAGCACCCUGCAGAGAGAGCUGUGGAGAUCUUCGUGCUUCUGCAGAGGCAGCUAUGAGAAUGAUGGCUGCAGCUGAUGCUUAUUAAGUGGGAUGAAAUGAAAGCUAUAGCUGCUUUAAAGUAGCUGGUUUUCCUCAGCUGAAAGCAGCAUUUCUUUCUCAUAAAUAUGCUACAACUAGACAUAAAACGUCUACCUUGCACUACCUGCCUUUUGGUGACACUAUCAGAAUAUUAGCCUGAUGAUGCUCAUCCUUGGGGACUGUGAAGAACCAUGACUCCCAGCCUCCGUGGACAAAUUCAGACCACAGAAAUAGCCCUGAGCAUCUCAAAAGCAGUUUGACCUGAAGGACUGAAGAUUUUUGAAUAUCUGAGAUGAACGCUGCUGACAACUCAAUUUUUACUUCAGGCUGCUCUUCUUGAUUUUGCAGGGCAUGGCGUGGAAGCAAAGCUUGGGCACUUCACAGCCUCCAGUGUCUAGAUCAGUGUUUUCAAAUGUGCACAAGUUUUCAACAGUUUUUAAACUGCUGAAUUUCACAGAACUUUAAUUGUAUCAAAUGCAAAAAGAAGAUGACACUAUACAAAACUAACAUAUAACUAGGCACAUAAAGAAUUUAGGGGCUGAAGUAACCAAAUAAUUCCUGUGCUGCAAGAACAAAUUGCUGAGAGCAGCAGAAGGAACUCUGAUCUCUCUCUUCUCUCUCUUUCUCUCUUUUUUUUUUUUUUUUUUUUUUUUUUUUUUAAAUAGUGCAGAGUACCUGGAAAUAAAUUUAAAAAAAAAUGCAGGAGAAAAUCAGUGGAAAGGCAGUACAGGGAUGCCAUUUUUUAAUACUACUCAUUAAAUUAUGUAAAAUGGUAGCAAUGAAUUUGGAGACCAAUCAAAGAAUUUCUGUUAACUCCAGUUCGUGUGCUGUGGUGUGGCAUGGAGGGGAGGAGGUGGGCAUACAGUGCCUCCCCCAGCUCAGGGGUCUGCCAGGCUCUGCUAGCUUGUUCUGGGUUACAAUUACCCCUCCUGGCUGUGUCCAGGCUGCAAGGACAGAUCCGGACUGGGACCUGAGCCUCUCAUCGCACCCAGCACGUGGAGGAUAAAAACAAAAGGCUCUGUGAUCCCAGUUCUCCUGCCACUGGCAUCUGUUUGCUGAAACAAAGAUUAAAAGCCUGAGUUUCUACAAAGAUAUUUUAAUGGCAGUCAAAACCAGGCUCCCAAAAGAAAAUUAACCAUUGCUUGGACUGAGCAAUGAGCUCUAAUGAAAUGAAGUGAUGAGGAAAAUAGAGCUAGACUUGCAGAGUUUGAUUUGAUAAGGCAGGCUGAGGACAGUGGGCACGAGACACUGGCUAAAUGUUAGUUUUUACUUGCAGCUGAGUUUUACAUCUUUAGGCAAGACUUGAUCUCUUCUACAAGCAAAUAACACACUCAUUUACAUGAAUAAUCCACAUUUCUUAUGCAAAUAACUUCCCUACUGCUGUUUCUACUGUGAAUAAUAUACAGUAUAAUUACCACAUUUAUUUAGUGAAUAUAUUUUCGCAGGGUAGCUCUCUGUCCAUGAAUGCUCUUCAUUAGAAAGGCCCAAAAAGCAACGGAGGAGCCCAAGCUGUCAGUCACGUGAGCCCUCCUCUUUCUAUUUCUGUUCUGAUAAAGCAUUUUGGGAGCAUUUGAGAUGCCUCAGCAAGAGCAGAAGGAUGUCAGUAUCCUGGCUCCAUCCCAGGGAGACCACCUGCUGCUAAUGGAAGGCAGCUACCACCCCGCCGCCCCGCUGCCUCCAUCCCUCCCUCCCUGCUAGCUAGCCUGCUGCUCAAGCUUCAGCUAACCAUAAUGAGGCAAGGCACUUUGCACAGUAACUUCCCUUUGUUUAUAAGGCCAUCUUAAUUUUUGUGUGUGUUUAAGUUGGUAAUUGCCGAGAAAUUUGACAAUCUUCCAGGCUUUACCGCUCUUAAUUAGGUUCACAUGCAUAUGCAUCAUCUUCUUGUGUGCUCAUUACUGCAAAGAGAUCAGAGCCUGAACCUUUGGAACAGUUUCCUCCAAUUUUCUGGCAUACACAGACUUCCCUGUGAAAUAACCCUCCUGCGUGGGACAGCCUACUCUGUUCGGAGCAUGUCUUGUUGUCCCGAGGAAGCUCUGCUCUGUGCAGUUAAAUCAAAAUGUAUUUCUUAUUUUGCGUGCCUCACCUGCCUUGCUGCUACCUAGACUUUCCCUUGGUCAUAGCACCAUCUGUUGAAAUGCCUUUUUGGUAGGAGUUGUUAUGGCUCCCAAUGGAAAAUGUUUCAACUUCUUAGCAUCCAGAUUGAUUCUUUACCUGCUCUGUUUGCAUCUAU